AUGUCUCCUCAUAUUACUUACUUAUUCGUAACCGUAACAGUUCUCUUAAAUGUUGGUGUCAAUUGUGCAAACCAUGUCUCACAGAAGCCGGUUACAAUAGCACAGAUUGAAGGAGAUUCAGUAACUAUUCAUUUCAGCUAUUCAACCACUGUUGAUUCAUAUUCCUUACAAUUGUACCGCCAAGAUCCGGGUACACCCCCGACAUUCUUGAUCUACAUCCCUAGAUACGGGAAAGUCUUCAAAGCAAAAGAUGUUGGCGAUCGAUUUUCUGCAUCUCUGGACACUUCCAGUACGGAGGGGAAUUUUACCAUCAGCAGACUUCAGCUGUCUGACAACGCGAUGUAUUACUGUGCGCUCAGAGACAGUGAGUGGAAGUAG